UUUUAAUAUGCCCACCUUUCCCGUAGUCUCAACAAACUAGAUAAUUUUCUCCUUUUCUACUCCCAGGAAUAAGCUGUUUCCUAGUCUGUGCUGCAUGGGUAAUCAGAUGUCAGAGUUUUUACAUCUACCCAGGGGCUAUAGUCAGUUCUCUUCCCUCAAAAUGGAAUCAGAAACUGCUUGUAAAAUGGAGUCUCUCAGCCUGACUUCCAGUGUGGAGUGACAUUGAGCAAGGCACAGCCUGAGCUCAAUUGUCUGUCUGCAAUUCCGCAGUAGUUCUCCUGUUAGUAAGUAAGAUUAUUUUUAUUAGAAAUUUGCAGUUAGCCAGUUGGUGGUGCACACCUUUAAUGGAAGCACUCGGAAGCAGAGGCAGGCAGAUCUCUGAGUUCAAGGCAGCUAGGUCUACAGAGUAAGUUCCAGGAUAUCUAGUACUGCACAGAGAAACGCUGUUUCAAAAAGACAAAGGUAAAUAAAAUAAGGUUAAAAAUUAAUUUAGAAUUUUUUAAAUUGUAAAAAUUGGGGCUGGAGAGCUGGCUCAGUUCAGAGCACUGGCUGCCCUUUCAAAGGACCCAAGUUCAAUUCCUAGUGCCCAUACGGUGGAUCCCAACCAUCUAUAGCUCCAUGCAACACCCUGUUCUGUUCUCCUUGAACACCUGGCUCACAGAUGGUGUGCAGAUACACUGCAGGCAAAACACUCAUACCAAUACAGUAAAAAGUAAAAACUGUCAAAAAUAAAUUUAUAAAUAAAAACAAACCCCAAACUAUUGUAUCAUGGUCAAGUGGAAGUUAAGGCAGGUAUGUAGGACCAACAGAAACCUCAAGACUGAGGCUGUUCAUGAAUCUCACUGGUAAAGCACAUACUAAUUCCCACACUCAAAAAGGAAAAAUUAACAGCCAGUAUAAUCCACUAUAUCCACAGUAAAGAAAAAUUAUAUGAUCAUGCCAACACUUUGGGGAGGGGGACAACAACAAAAGUAUGCCAUAUAUCGAGAAAAGGUCAGAAAGCUAUUGAGAUUCAGAAGAUAUCAAUUACUGCCCACAGAAAAGCCCAAGAACUAACAGAAACUCAAGGAAUUAAUUAGUAUCUGAAGGAUACAGGAUCAGUAUACAAAAUUCCAUUUUCCUGUAUGUCAGCAAUAAACAACAGGAAAAUGGAAUUUUGUAUACUAAUCCUGUUUGCUACAAGUUUGCUGUAGUAUCUGAUUAAUUCUCUGAGUUUUUGUUAGUUCUUGGGAUUUUCUGUGGAUAAUGAAUAACAGGCAUGCACUGGGACAUGAUUUAAUAAUUUCAUAUAUAAACAAUGUUCUGAUUAUUGUCAUGUCCCACUCCCUAAUUUCCCUUUUACCCUCUUUAGUCAACUCCUGCUUAUAAUUCCCUUUGAUAUAUCCAUGUCCCCACCCCCCUUUUUGUUUUGAGGCCCACGGUUUUAACCAGGAUCAUCUGUGUAGCCAUGGGUGAACCUGUCCAUUGGGCUUGGUGGUCACCUCAGUGGGCACACAAUUGAAGACAGUGACUUGCUCCUCCAGAGUCCCUCAGUAAUCAUACUUCAAGGAGGGGUAACCACUGAUUCAUGAUGGUUAGGUCCAUCGCAGAAACCCAUGGCUGUUGUCAAGUUGGAACAGCAUUAGCUCUCCCAAGUCCAGAAAUCAGCAUUUCACAUCCCAUCUUGCUAUCUUCUGGGCCUUUUUGUUUGUCUUUUUGAGACAGGUGUAGUCCAGGUUGGCCUUAUACUCACUGAGAUCCGCCUGCCCCUGCCUCCUCAGUGCUGGGACUAAAGGUGUGCGCCACCACUGCCUGCCUGCCUGCCUACC
ensembl:lncRNA